UUUAUCCACAGCUGUGAUAGUGCCUGUGUUGGUUUAGCCCAACUUCUGCCUUUGCUCCAGUAUUACCUUGUUCCAGUUUGAAGAAGGGACAACCUGGGAAGGGUCACAGGAAGGGUGUUCUGUGAGCUGUGGCAGACCCCCACCUGAGACCAUACCCCUACUGUGAAAACAGUCCCCAAAGGGUGACAUUGGGUGGAGAUUGAAGAGGCCCAUAAGAGAAGACUGACAGACAGGAUGUGGAGAAAUUGCUUCCUUGCUGAAAACCAGUAGUGACCAGGUUGGGGCAGGAAGGGGCCAGAUCUGCUUCACCUGUGGGCAGGACAGCCAUUGCUACCACUCCUGUCCCAGUCUGGAAUGUGACUAUGCUGUAGUCUGCUCCUCCAAGGUCUCAGCAUUCCUCAGGAAGCCCCAUGCUCUAAUUGUCCCCAUCAUAGUCAAUGGGGUAGAGGACUCUGGCUGUGGCCAGACCUUCAUACAUGAGCAGCUACUGGGCCCCAAUUUCUCAAGGACUGGGGAAAUGUUACUUAUAGGAUGUAUCCAUGGAGAUUUCUGACCCUACCCCACUACCAGGAUUAAGCAGAGUGUAAAUGGGAGGGCUGUGGAGGAGUUGGUGGCUGUGGCAAAAGAAUUGUCAUACCGAGUGGUGCUGGGGUCUGUACUGGAGCCCAGUAGCUGGCCUGCUACAAGAGACAAAUCAUUCAUGUCUGGAUCCUAGACCUCUAGAGGUGCUGUAAGAGGGGAUUGCUUGGAAAGAUCUUUCCC